rnacentral:rRNA from 1 species
UUGGAGGGCAAGUCUGGUGCCAGCAGCCGCGGUAAUUCCAGCUCCAAUAGCGUAUAUUAAAGUUGUUGCAGUUAAAAAGCUCGUAGUUGAAUUUCGGAGUUUGUCGGUUGGUCGGGCUUCACUGUCCGCACUGGCCUGAUGGAUUCCUACCUUCUGAAUAACCAGCAUGCUGUUAAGUUAGUGCGUUGGGGAAGCAGAGCUAUUACCUUGAAAAAAUUAGAGUGCUUAAAGCAGGCUUUUGCUUGAAUAGAUUAGCAUGGAAUAAUAAAAUAGGACGGCAUGGUUCUAUUUUGUUGGUUUCUAGGAUCACCGUAAUGAUUAAUAGGGAUAGUUGGGGGCAUUAGUAUUCAAUUGUCAGAGGUGAAAUUCUUGGAUUUAUUGAAGACUAACUUCUGCGAAAGCAUUUGCCAAGGAUGUUUUCAUUAAUCAAGAACGAAAGUUAGGGGAUCGAAGACGAUCAGAUACCGUCGUAGUCUUAACCAUAAACUAUGCCGACUAGGGAUCGAACGAUGUUAAUUUUUUAAUGACACAUUCGGCGGCUUACGGGAAAC